rnacentral:sRNA from 1 species
UAGGGGAGGAAGAAUAAAAGGUCAAGUUCACUAGGAAUACCUACCAGGCUGACUCUGCAUAUCCCUUAAAACAUGUCUGGUUACUCUGGAAUACUGUUGGUCCAUUCUCUUCUUCUGGGGUGAGCUGCUCUCGGGGACACCCUGGGUGUCUACACAGUCCCUUCCUUUGUACUGUCUCUUCACCCUAUCCUUGUCCUCCCUGGCUCUCCUUUCAGAAACGCUGUUCAUUCUGUGCAUUGAUUUCUGGCCUUUGUCCUUCUGUCCAUCCUGGAUCAAUGGUCAGAAAUAACAUGAGAGGUCAGAGGGUUUUCCCAGUCCACCCCUGAAGCAGACAUUAACCCUUUGUGGGCUCCUACCUGUCUGCAGAAGGCCUCUCUCAGGCUCACCCACCGUGAAGGAAGCAUACCAUUCCCCCGGCCACCAUAGUCCCUCAAUACUCUAACGUUUCAGUAGCCUUGGAUACAAUGGAUUUUUAAUUGGUCAGGGAAUAGGGGAAGUGGUCCCAAUGGUGAACAAGACCCGAGGAGGGGUCCUGGCUAGACGACUGGCCAGCGCCAGGGGAAGUGAACAUAUAAAGCUGAUUGGUGGCUAGAGUUCCAACUGAACCCUCCUUCUGCCACUGGUUUUCCCUCUUGUCCUGCUCUCUAUUAAACUGAUGGUUGGUGAAUUCUACAGACUCUUGGGAUGUGUAGAUUUUCCUUUCUGGGGAAGGUUUGGAAGAGAGUGGUACCACAGGGGUGGCUCUCUCAGGGCCGUGGGUAGGCAAAGCUAGCAGUCCUGAGGAAGCAGUGUCCAGCGAAGACCCAACUGAUCAGAUUUAGAUAUUUGUCUCUUGGCAGUGGUGGCUGGAAGUGAUGAGAUAUCUAGAAAGUGGGAAUGGUAGGAGGCUCUUUCCAAAGAAGGAAACAGCUCAUGUGGAAUGAAUGACUUCUUGCUUUAGGGCAAACCGGUGGCAUCUGCUUUUAGUGACAUUUCAAGGUCCCAGCAGAGCCGGACCUGUGUGUGUGUGUGUGUGUGUGUGUGUGUGUGUGUGUGUGUGUGUAUUAAAUGUGCAUUGUCUCUGGUUGUUCCUGGUACAAGAUGCUUCAUGUAUGUGGGAGUGGGACCAUCCCUUUGCCAGGGUUUGACCCCUUACUUUCUUUCUGUUUGGGUGGAGGGUGGGGUGGUCACUGGAGAGGAGUGGAAGUGACUAAGCCUGUGGAAGGGGGAUUAGUGACUUGAUAUAAUACCUGUAUUGGGAACCCAAGGAGCCCAUGACCAAAGGUCAGCAGGGCUCUGAGGUUGGACAGACCCUUACUUACCUUACUUAACAGACCCCACCCCCCGACCCCAGACAGGGGUUUGAAGCACUCUGAGUCUUUGAGGAUUGUGGUGUUAGGCAGGAGGCAGGAGGCAGGAGGCAGGAGGCAGGAGGCAGGAGGCAGGAGGCAGGAGGCAGGAGGCAGGAGGCAGGAGGCAGGAGGCAGGAGGCAGGAGGCAGACUCCCUGGAUCCCAAGAGAGAUGACUCUUCUCUGCCCCUACCUCACCUAGCUCUCAAGGACAUAUGAAGGUUGUGGUGGAGGGCAGCCCCCACACUCUGCUGUACACUUAGCUCCCCACUCUUUCUUCACCCUCCCACUCCCACUCCAUGGAAGUUGGGGUAGGAGCUCCUGCUAUGCUUGGUAACAGCAGGAAGGACUGGGGCAAACUUUCAGGCCUAGGAGACAGAUUUCUGAAGACUAGAAAAGAGCAGACAGAGCCCCAGCUUUUUUCCUCUCUUUGGCUCCCUAACACGGCUAUGUGCCCCAUGUGCUCCCUUGUCCCCCAGCUCUGUGAAACAGCUGGCCUGCCCUCCUCCAUCCCCCUUCAACACCAAAUGGAGGCAGGUAUCAGGUCCAGUCUGACAGCCGGAGGCAGGUCUCAGAACCUCUGGUCCCCCAGUCUCCAUUCCUGGGCCCGCUUUCCUGGUUCAAAAGUCAUCUUAGCCAAUCUGCUGUCUCUGGGCAUAGGUAUAUUUCUUGACCCCAUAGAAACUCCUUAUUCUCCUCAUCUCAGGCGUGUGAGGAGGUCUCAACACACCCUCUCCAGUCCCUAGGUCUCCAGGUAGGGAGAGGAGAAGCCAGGGUACCUGGCCCUCCCUGGAUCUGAGAAGCAGAAGUUUCAAAGAGCACACCUGCUUGGUCCCUUUUCAUCCACACCCAAUUCUACAAAAAAGCUCUAGCAAUGUGGAAACCUCUCUUUCUCCUGCCCAUACCCAGAGGUCUGAUAAUUUCAGAUGGAGAGCUUGACAGUGAGUGACUGGGGGCAGGAGUCCUGGGGAGCUGGAUGCUCUUGGGGACCGAUGGUCCCCACAUUCGAGGGAAUGCAAAAGAAGACGGGCUGCAGAUAGUAAGUAGCCCCUUCCAUACGCUCACUGACGCUGACACACACUGCUCACUCACACACUGCCGCCUCUGCCAGGCUGCUCCGAGCUAAAAAUAGGCCAGGCCAGGAGGCUGGGCCAGGGCCUUGCACUCCCACCCGGUGAGCCAAGCUUUCUUGGUGGCUUGCUUUCUGGCUGAGCUUGGACCCCAGGCCCAGACGCUACAGUUCGCCGCGCUACGUCCCGCAUCUCACCCCCACUCCCUACUCCAUAGGGCAGAGUUAUACCCAGGUCCCACGUGCUCCGACUUGCAGAAGGGAACACCAGCUUGCAGACCCCCGCCCUCGCUCCAAAGCGCCUCCAUAGCUGUCCUCAUCCCUUUCCGUGCCACACUCAUAGCCCAGGUGCGGAUGACUCGGAGGAACCCAGAAACCUGAAAUGCUCCCAACUGGCUGGAAAUCUCAGCUUCCUGUGGUGCUCUGACACUCUCCUGUAUAGAAUUUCAACAUCUUCUGAGAUUUGAAGACACUUGAUGGAAAAUGUUGUAGAGAGUUCACACCAUCCAUAGUCAUUGUACUGGGAGAGAGAAGGAAGCAAAUGGGCAGGAACAUUGAUUACGGGCUUCCGCAUGGUUUCCAGUGACAGCACAGACCACAAACAUGCCAUCCAGCUACAGAAGAAACAAAGACCCAGACAAGGCCCUCAGAGGCAGCCUGGACCACUAGCAUCAACAUGGCCUCAGGUGACAGUGUAGCGCACUCACCUCAAUAUGAUCCCUGGUAGCAACACUGCUCAUAGAUAACAUGGCCCCAGGAUGCAGCAUAGAGAAAUCUGAGACCUGGGACCCAGACAUGGCCCUUGGCAGCAGCAUGAUCUGGACAUCACCAUGGCCCCAGGUGUCAGUGCAGACCACCGAUACCAAAAUGGCCCCUGGUGGUAGCAUGGCCAUGGACAUAAAUACAUCAUCAGGUUGUAGCACGGAGCAUGCACAUCCUUAUAGCCUUGGAUGGUAACACAGACCACAGACCAACAUGGCCUUGGUCAUAUCAGGACUCACUCAUGGCACUUAGCAGUAGUACAAACCUUAUGCCUCAACAUGGCCUUAGGUGGCUACACAAGCCAUUCACAUCAACACUUCUCUCUUCAAAUGGGCUUCAAUUAGCAGCAGACUGCAUAUGUUCACAUGGAUUAUCUUUAUAGAUCUGGGGGAGAAGUUUUAUUUUGUUCAUUUAUUUGUUUUUUUUUUGUGUGUGUUUGUUUUUUUGUUUUUGUUUUUGUUUUUCAAGACAGAGUUUCUCAGUCCUAGCUGUCUUUGUAUUCACUUUGUAGACAAGGCUAACCUUUAGGGACCCUGUUAAUCAUCUGAUGUAUUUGAAACCAUAUUAUGAUGGUUAGUUUUAAUUUUCAAGUGUACACAGCCUAGAAUUACCUAGGAAAAUUGUCUAAAUGAGGAGUUUAAUUUGGGUUGGCCUAUGGGCAUGUGUGUAGAAUAUUGUCUUAAUUAAGAUAAUUUUAUGAGAAGGCCCAAUGCAGUAUGGGGGGCUCCAUUGCCUAAACAAGGGUCUUGGUCUGUAUAAGAGUAGAAAAAUCCAAGUCAGCAAACUUGUACACCAAUACUUCUGCAGCUUUUGACUGUGAAUGUGAUGAGACCAGCUCUUUGAAGUUCCUUCCUUGAUUUCCCCAUGAUGAUAGACUGUAAUCUGAAAACAUAAGCUAAAUAAACCCUUUUCUCCAUAUU